GCACCCUGCUCGAGCACCGCAGUCCUCAUCCCUCCUACUCUGAAUCCAGCCUCCCCUUUCCCUUCUUUCUGCUGGAGCCCGGGUUGAGCCCUCAGCUUUCCUCAUACAAACUUACUGGCAGCCUCCCAAAGGGCCGCGACCUCCCCUCUCCUUGCUCGGCACCCUCCCCAGACGGCCAUCUGAUCCUGCCUCUGCUCUGCUGGGAUGACUCUCCCUCCGACGCCGCCCACACAGUGACAUUCAAACUCCUUAGCAAGAUGCCCUUUUUGCAGUACGCCCUGCCCCCUGGAUGCCUGUCUCCCCAUCUACAUUUCCAGCCCCGACCAGCAGCCCCGUUCCCACCCUGAGAUGGGGCUCCCUGCCCACCCGGCACUAUUAUGCGGUCAGGUCAUCCAGUUCAACCUAGAUUCUCUCACAAAGAUCAGGCCUGUCAUGGACUUGUAGACAAUUCCUAGCUCCUGGGUGCCUGGCAAACGAGUCCCCUUUGGUGGUGGGCGGCUUCCCUGGGGGAAUCAACGAGCCCCUUAUCUCAGCGUACUAGCACUUAGUGACACGUGCACAGCAGUGCGUGCUGCCCUGGGUUGGGGGGAGUCCGCGUGCUCUGCACUGACCACCUCAAUCAUGCCAUCACCCCAGUAGUCCCGGUGCUGCACUGAUCACCGGCCGCUGGCUAGAUGGAUGACAAUCCAGGCCUCUGUGCCACCUCAUCUGCUUUCCAAAAUCCUGGUUACAGAGCAUUAACCCACAACAGAUUGGCAAUGACUAUCACUUGCCCCCAUUCUGGGGCAGUGUGUCCUUUGGCCUCGAUCUGAAGCACACUCUUAUUUGGGUUUCCUUUUCAGAGUUACCAAAUGUCAACUGUAGAAAAGGGUCUGGGAAUUUCACGGGCAUUUCUCUGUACAGUGGAGAGCUGUCUACCCCUUGGCAGGAUCACCGACACCUACUUGGGCAACAGAAUCAAACCCUGACUCCACCACCCAUUCCGUCCUCUCCAGCACCAUCUCCAUCGUCACCUUCCGAUUAAUGUCACAGCUGCCUUCUUGCCUCAAACAUGCCCCUGCCAGUAAGCAAGACAUUGCUGCAACAUUAGUCACACUCUCUUGUCCUUCAGCUCCACCAUGGGAUGACGCAGCAAGAAGGCCCUAAACAGACACCAGCCCCUUGACCUUGGACACCAUGUUUUCUCCUCAGCGUGAACAUCAGUCUCCCUCCUUUUACAUUAAAGCAAUUUUCUAAAACAUCAUCCAGAAACUAAAUUGCUAAUCAAACUACAUUUAGAAUGCAAUAGGAGGGUCCAAAAUUGAUUCCCUUAAUGGGAAAAAAUACUA